rnacentral:lncRNA from 1 species
UCGGGUCUUCAGUCCUAGGUCUCCUAUCUUGAGAAGGACCUUGACUUGCUGGCCUGAUGAAGAUGAUGGAGCUUGUGUGGGUGUCGGAUCGACGCUCAUCUCUGAUGGCUGUGAGGAGUGUCGGGUUGAACUCCUUGUACCAAUGUUCUUGAGAGCCUUUCCUGCAUUCUUCACCUUCUUAAACAUCCUGCAAACAACAGUUGGCAAAAACACAACUAGUGGAAAAUGUGAGAUAAAAUGUUAGUGGUCAGCUAUCCGGAGUGUCAGUAGUCCAGGGGUUA